ensembl:lncRNA
GAAGCUGCUUUUAAAGGCUUUAUUACAUAAAGUUUAUUAUCUAUCUAUCUAUCUAUCUAUCUAUCUAUCUAUCUAUCUAUCUAUCUAUCUAUCUAUCUAUCUAUCUCUUUCUAUCAUUUGCCUGUCUUCUCUUUAUAUUUUAAUGGUAAAGGGAGAAUGAAUGGUCAGAGAGAGGAGGAGAUAGAAAAGGAUGAGAGAGUGUGGAAAUGAGAGGAGAGGAGGGGGGAGAAUUCCACUUAGUGUCCAUCUAAUGCACUUUACCCCACUCACACUCUCUCUCUCUCUCUCUCUCUCUCUCUCUCUCUCUCUGUCUGUAUGUCUCUCUCUCUCUCUAUCCCUCUCUCUCUCGCUCUCUCACGCCUCCGAGGUCUUGGAUCAUCUCACAGCAGAGGAGUUGACAGGACUGAUGCUCAUCUGACAGAUAUCAGACUCGAGAGGAUCCUCACGAUUACACACACACACACACACACACACACACAUCUGACAGGCUUGGCCAAACCAGGCGUCACAGUGCUGUUUACCAGAGACCGUGUGAGGCGCAGG